AAAUCGAGAAAAAUCAAGAAAAUCGGUUAAAAAUCGAAUAAAAUAGUGAAAACACGUGCCGGAAGGAGAAGGGCAGCAAAAGGGUAUUGAAAUCUGGAUUUUAUUGCCUAGAGAAGGUCUAAGGAACUUUAAAGAAAACCAAAGUUAUUUUGAUGGAAAAAGGUUUUGAAAUCCAUAUUUAAGAUGUAUAAGAUCACAAAAUAAAAUAAACGAAACAUUAGGAGGAGUAUGAUGUGUGGCAAAGUGGCCAUGCUAGAGUGAGGUUGGGGGUUAUGACCAAGUUUGCACUGUUGGUGAUUGUAGGCGCUGCUGUCAUUUUCUCUGAAUUUUUCCUUCUGCUCUCUCGU
rnacentral:lncRNA from 1 species